rnacentral:lncRNA from 1 species
AGGAAAUUUGCCGCACUUCGCUUCUUUGAACUGACAUUAGUGUUGGUCUUCUCCAUCUCACCCUUGGAUUCCGAAUUCUCAUUUGACGAUCCACCUUUGCUUGAAAUGGCAGCAUGACUAUUGGUAUCAGAAUUUUUUGUUGUGUUUGUGUUAUUACGAGUCUUGACAUUUUUGUUGGCUUUUCUUGCACCUGAGGCGGCAGAUCUUUCUCUUGUUCUCUUCUUUGUUACAGGACUUUCCUCGGCCUUCUCAGACGAUUUAUCUUGUUGCUUCCAAUCUAGAGCUGGUUUUUCAUUCAUCAAUGAAGCUAUUGGCUGCCUUUUUUUCUCUUGUCCAGAAGAUGAUGUUGAUGCUUUU